UGAGUAACACGUAGGUAAUGUACCUUUGGGUGGGGAAUAACUUAGGGAAACUUAAGCUAAUACCGCAUAAUGCGAUAGCGUCUAUGACGCAUUUGUUAAAGAUUUAUCGCCUAAAGAGCAGCCUGCGGCAGAUUAGCUAGUUGGUAAGGUAACGGCUUACCAAGGCUACGAUCUGUAUCCGACCUGAGAGGGUGGUCGGACACACUGACACUGAAUAACGGGUCAG
rnacentral:rRNA from 1 species